rnacentral:rRNA from 1 species
GACGUAGGGGGCGAGCGUUGUCCGGAGUUACUGGGCGUAAAGCGUACGCAGGCGGCUCGAUAAGUCGGGUGUGAAAGCCCAGGGCUCAACCGUGGAGGGUCAUUGGAAACUGGGGGACUUGAGUACAGAAGAGAGGAGUGGAAUUCCACGUGUAGCGGUGAAAUGCGUAGAGAUGUGGAGGAACACCAGUGGCGAAGACGACUCUUUGGUCUGUAACUGACGCUGAGGCGCGAAAGCGUGGGGAGCAAACAGG